rnacentral:rRNA from 1 species
ACGGGUGAGUAAUGUCUGGGGAUCUGCCCGAUAGAGGGGGAUAACCACUGGAAACGGUGGCUAAUACCGCAUAACGUCGCAAGACCAAAGAGGGGGACCUUCGGGCCUCUCACUAUCGGAUGAACCCAGAUGGGAUUAGCUAGUAGGCGGGAUAAUGGCCCACCUAGGCGACGAUCCCUAGCUGGUCUGAGAGGAUGACCAGCCACACUGGAACUGAGACACGGUCCAGACUCCUACGGGAGGCAGCAGUGGGGAAUAUUGCACAAUGGGCGCAAGCCUGAUGCAGCCAUGCCGCGUGUAUGAAGAAGGCCUUCGGGUUGUAAAGUACUUUCAGCGGGGAGGAAGGCGAUGGGGUUAAUAACCUUAUCGAUUGACGUUACCCGCAGAAGAAGCACCGGCUAACUCCGUGCCAGCAGCCGCGGUAAUACGGAGGGUGCAAGCGUUAAUCGGAAUUACUGGGCGUAAAGCGCACGCAGGCGGUCUGUUAAGUCAGAUGUGAAAUCCCCGGGCUUAACCUGGGAACUGCAUUUGAAACUGGCAGGCUUGAGUCUUGUAGAGGGGGGUAGAAUUCCAGGUGUAG